ensembl:lncRNA
AUGUUUCUCAGGUUUGUUUCAUUAAUGAUUCUUCUGUGUGGGUUUCAGCUGAGGAGCUUCAUGAAACUCAAAGUCUUUGUGAGGCUAAAGAGACUCCAGCAGCAGCUCGAGGUGCAAUGGGCUCUAAAAACAUCUCUCUGCCUAAUUUUGCCACGGAGAGAGAAGACACUGAUCAGAACACCGUUACCCAGAAUGCACUGCUGUUGCCACUGCCAAGUAACAUUAAUAGUUUCUCUUCAAAUGACAACAACUUCACUGUUACUUGAAACUGUUUAUAUUCACAGUAUUUGUGUUGAUUUUAAAGACAUUAUAAUGCUGUUAUUCUGUGUUUCAGGAUGCUGCAGAUCCAAGAACAUUUCAAUGCCAAACCUCAGUAAUGUUUCAGUUUAUUUUAAAUCAUACUUUCAUUAAUUUACACAGUGUUUGAUUUUGGUCUUUUUUUAGAAACAGAAACUAAUUAGUUUUAUAUGGCUGUAAAUUAAAAUUAAAUCUUUUUUUUCAGCUCUAGAAGGAAAGGACUCAGAUGCCUCCAGCUAGAAGAUCGGGCGAUCAUUUACGGGUUUUGCAGGAUUUUAUGAAGAAUCAGAUCUAGAGCUUUACUUCCAUCAUCAGUGGCAAAAGAAUGUGAAAACCUGAACAUCACAUGCAUGCAUGACUAAUAAUAGGGUGGUUUUUCACAACAUCCAAAAAGCAUCAGGUCAGACACUGAAUCAACCUUCUAGAUAUUUGGGCAUGAAGCACAAUCCAGCAUAUUGUGUCACAGUAAAUUCACAUUGCAUUUAUUCACAUUAUUUACAUUUAUUAUAUUUUACAUUUAUUAUAUUUUCCACACUGGGCUUUCCGUGCAAUACACAAUGCAUUGUGUAAUUUAGUUUUAAAGAUGUAUUACUGAAGUACUGAUGUUACAAGCAUAGAAAAUAUGGACAUUUUACAUUUUAUGCAUGAAUUUGUUGUUUCAAAUAGUUUUAAAAUUAUACCAAUCCUCAUUGCAUUUUGAAUAAGUUUAAAUUGACCUUUGAUGAAGUGACAUCCCUCUUGCAAACCCUAGAGGGGGGAAAUAGGCUAGAAAAAAAUCAAUAUCAACCUGUGAAAUGAUGAGAAAAUGACGAAACUACAGAACAGAAAUUCGUCUUUAGUCUUAUGAGUAAAUCUAGUCAUUCAGAUUGAAAAUGUUCGUGUGUGUGUUUUGUUUCUUGGUCAUCUGUUAUUCAAGAGCUUUUAUGAAAGGCGCAUAUUGUUUCUGAAUUGAGUUGUGAUUGUAACCAGCAGAGGGCAGCAUGAACCUGUGUGAGAGUCCAGAACCUUUACAAAACCCUUGAAACCCGUUUAGUCCGGGUCUAGAUUUCUUGACUUAGUUGUGUGAAGAAUUUGAGAGACUCUUUAGAAGUGGAAGUGAUGUGUUGAAUUAUAAAUAUCAAUGGCUUCAAAUCAACCUCAACACACUGAUGGGAAAUGAAAACAGGAGAAUGACGCUUUAUGUUUAGGGGACAGUGGGGUAAGCUGUUUCACGUCGAGAAGUAAUUUGAUGAAACUUGAGGAAUGCACAGAUGGGUUUAAAGUUUGAUUUAAUGAUUUAAACAUGACCAUAAAUGAGAACUAAUUAUAUGCAUGUGAUUUUAAAGUUUGACAAGACUGCAUUUAUUUGAACAACAUGGUUUAUUUAUCAUCAUUACCGCAUUUCUUAUUACUGUGCUGUUUUAUAUAUUUGUGGAAACUGUGGUCAAUUUUAUUCAAAAUGCUUUGAUGAAAAGAAUAAAGCAUUUAAAACGAGGCA